UUAUGUCCAGGGCUUCACGCAUGCUACAAUGGCCGGUACAAAGAGUUGCGAGCCUGUGAGGGUGAGCGAAUCUCAAAAAGCCGGUCUCAGUUCGGAUUGGGGUCUGCAACUCGACCCCAUGAAGUCGGAGUCGCUAGUAAUCGCAGAUCAGCAACGCUGCGGUGAAUACGUUCCCGGGGCUUGUACACACCGCCCGUCAAGUCAUGAAAGUCGGUAACACCCGAAGCCGGUGG
rnacentral:rRNA from 1 species